rnacentral:lncRNA from 1 species
UAUUAACAGGGUCUUAAUGGUGAAAGAAGAAAGAAAAGGAAAGAUUUUCCCCUAUCCUACUGCCACUUCCUGUUCCUUUCCUGCCUUGCUAGGGAGGGUCUUUUCCCCUGUACAACCAUAGCUCUUACUGGUGCCCAUUCCACUUCCAUACCACAUUCUGGUAACACUGUUUCUUGAGUUCUUGGCGGGUCAUAAUGGCUGCUUCCCUUUUUUUUUUUUGAGACGGAGUUUUGCUCUUGUCACCCAGGCUAGAGUGCAAUGGCGUGAUAUCAGCUUACUGCAACCUCCACCUCCCGGCUUCAAGCAGUUCUCUUGCCUCAGCCUCCCAAGUAGCUGGGAUUACAGGCAUCUGCCACAUGCCCGGCUAAUUUCUGUGUUUUUGAUAGAGACAGGGUUUUGCCAUGUUGGCCAGGCUGCCCUGACCUCAGGUGAUCUGCCUGCCUCGACCUCCCAAAGUGCUGGGAUUACAGGCGUGAGCCACUGCACCUGGCCAAUGGCUUCCCAUUUUUGCUAGCCCCUUGUUUUUUCACCAUCUCUUGUUUUUCUCAAUCUUCCCAACACCUCUGCAAACAAUUCCUUCCUUAAAUUAUUUCCAGUUUAUCUACUCUGAACAUGCCAUCUUUUUUUUCUCCCUUUGGAAGUUAGUUGCAAUUUGAUUACAAGGAUAAUUGACUUUAGAACCUGAGCCCUUAAUCACUUCAAUAUAUUGACUUGAACAAAAACAUAUCCCCCAAGUAAAUGAAUUUCUAAAUUGAAAUAAAUUAGUUGCAUGCAGUCAAUUGCUUAUAUACUUGAUUUUAGUUAUUAAGUUUUUCAAAACAAUGACUAACUGAAUUAAGCCAGUUUUACAAUUUUCACUAUGUGAACAUAGCAUACUAUAUGUUGUGUAUAAUGGGUAUAUUAGUUAAUAAACCUAUCUGUAAAUGUAAGGCCAGCUCACCCUUGUUAUUAUUUUGCCAUCAGUGAGCAUUGUUUAUAGCAUCUUAUCUAUCAUUCUCUGAUUUCAUCCUUUGCAGUGAGUUUGGGUUUGAUUCAUUAACAUUGGAAUCUCAUGAAGUUGUCCCUCAGAGAAAGGGACUCUACCCCAUCACAAUAUACAGUAUACUUCUGUUCUUUUACAGGUUUCUUACCACUUUCUAAGUGGUGCUGAUGUCUGUUUCCUUGACAAUGAGGUACAUAAGGAAAAUCUUCACAAAGAACUUACUCUAAUUCUUGGGAAAGAACCGAUUUCUGCAUUCAAGAAUCAUAUGAUUGCAACAUUUUUUAAUGUCAUUCAUUACCAAUAUGGAUUUAGCUCCCCACUUCAUCAAGUGAACAGCCAUUACUCCAUGUAUAUAUCUGUAACAACUAGAUUGAAAUAUCUUUUCAGAUUAAGAACCACUUUUCUUUUUCUUUUUAUUAUACUUUAAGUUUUAGGGUACGUGUGCACAAUGUGCAGGUUAGUUACAUAUGUAUAUAUGUGCCAUGUUGCUGUGCUGCACCCAUUAACUCAUCAUUUAACAUCACGUAUAUCUCCUAAUGCUAUCCCUCCCCCAUCCCCCUACCCCACAAC